rnacentral:tRNA from 1 species
GAAUUUAAAGUUUAAUUUAAAGAAUCUCUAAUUUGCAAUUAGAAGGAGCAAAUACGCUGAUA